AGUGAACGCUGGCGGUAGGCCUAAUACAUGCAAGUCGAACGGCAGCACAGUAAGAGUUUGCUCUUACGGGUGGCGAGUGGCGGACGGGUGAGGAAUACAUCGGAAUCCACUUUUUCGUGGGGGACUACGGAGGGAAACUGACGCUAAUACCGCAUAUGACCUACGGGAGAAAGCAGGGGAGCUUCGGACCUUGCGCGACUGAAUGAGACGGUGUCGGAUUAGCUAGUUGGCAGGGUAAAGGCACACCAAGGCGACGAUACGUAGCAGGUCUGAGAGGAUGAUCGGCCACACUGGAACUGAGACACGGUCCAGACUCCUACGGGAGGCAGCAGUGGGGAAUAUUGGACAAUGGGCGCAAGCCUGAUCCAGCCAUACCGCGUGGGUGAAGAAGGCCUUCGGAUUGUAAAACCCUUUUGUUGGGAAAGAAAAGCAGCAGGUUAAUACCCCGCUGUUCUGACGGUACCCAAAGAAUAAGCACCGGCUAACUUCGUG
rnacentral:rRNA from 1 species